rnacentral:rRNA from 1 species
GAGUUUGAUCGUGGCUCAGGAUGAACGCUGGCGGCAUGCCUAACACAUGCAAGUCGAACGGAGACUAACGCUGAUUUGAUGAUAGCUUGCUAUUGGAUUUUCUUGUUAGUCUUAGUGGCGGACGGGUGAGUAACACGUGAGCAACCUGCCUUUCAGAGGGGGAUAACGGCUGGAAACGGUCGCUAAUACCGCAUAACAUAUUCGAGUGGCAUCACUUGAAUAUCAAAGGAGCAAUCCGCUGAAAGAUGGGCUCGCGUCUGAUUAGAUAGUUGGUGGGGUAACGGCCUACCAAGUCGACGAUCAGUAGCCGGACUGAGAGGUUGAACGGCCACAUUGGGACUGAGAUACGGCCCAGACUCCUACGGGAGGCAGCAGUGGGGAAUAUUGCACAAUGGGGGAAACCCUGAUGCAGCAACGCCGCGU